AAUGUAUAGAAUCAAACAUAUUUUUGAUUUACUUGUACUAUCACAAUUUAUUUUAGAACACAAGUGUUAAUUUAUAGGCGGCGGCAUCAUUUCAGGAAGUGGCUUGAUCAGGACUGUGCUUCUGAAACUCUACUUCAUUCAACAGCUUUCCAAGCUGGAGUGAGUAGCUUGGCAAAAUGUUUAUGUAAACAUUCUUUUUUUAGAUGAUUGGAAAUCCAAAAGCAUUAUUCUUCAAUGGAUGAAGUGGAACUAAAGGAGAUUGUGAUUGACAUCAAAUCUAGAUGGCCAGUGCUGUUCACAGACAGAAAAGUAAGUGCUUAUGUAAAAUCUGCGAAAGGUCCAAUAAGAUUUUCUGUGGUUGUUGAAAUGAACCCUUUCACACAUACCAUCACACGGGUAUGAUCGUUCUACAGUGGUCCCUGAAGCAUACGAUCACACCUGUGUGAUUAGAACACUCGUUUAGAACUGCAGUGUAUAUAUAUAUCAUAACACAAUCAUCCUAACUGGAAAAAUGUAGGCUACAUUUGUCCUAGGCUGAGGAAAGAUUGACCCAACACAAGUCCACCACUGACAUCAAACAUUAUGAGGGGUGUCAGGGUCCGUGGCGAUGACCAUGCUGGCUCCUCAUCUCGGCAAGGGACACACUUUGUACGUGGACAAUUGGUACAGCAGUCCCAUGCACUCGGAAAAGCACCAAGUGGUAUACGAAGAUAUUUUUUCCAUCUGAUCGACAUUGCUGUCCUCAACGGCAGCAUAGUUCACCGCCAACUAACAGGUAAAGUAAUUACCUACCAAAAAUACAGAGAGAACCUCAUGAGAGAGCUGCUGGAGGAGCACCACACCCCUCGGCGCCCAUCCACUGGGGGUCUUCCUGCUGUAGACAAUCCCCUACGCCUCACUGCACGGCAUUUUCCCUGCAAAGUCCCUCAAACUGCUUCUCAAGGUUGCUCUGGAGUUCAUGAGACUGACUGGUGUCUGUGGACCUCAAGAAGACAUUUUAUGAAGGCCUGGACAGUCUUGACAAAGACAGUUCCAAUCAAAGGAAGAGAAACGCUGUGCUCCGAGGCUUGCCAUACUUCCUGCGAGAAGACCCUACCAAUUUUUUUUAAGACGUGAGAAGACAACUGAUUCUGAGGAAGGCACCCGCGGAGUGAAAAUCGGUGUCGUUGUGGAUGGAGCUGAAGCAGGUGACCCAAUGCCAGCUCAUGUGGGUACAUGAGCUUCACAAUGUCCCAAAUGCCUUUGCCACUUUGAUUGGACUUCUUUAAUGUCUGAAUAUGGAUUACUCAAAAUGUUUGAGGUCUACUUUUGAGGUAGUUCAGAAAAUAUUCUUGAAGAUUGGUGCAGAAAACUACAGCAAAGGUCCAUAGGCUGAACCGUCUUCUUCAUUAAGACAACUAAUUAGUGUGUUUUUGUUUUACUCGCAGUAGUUGAGUUCAUUCCUCGGACAACGAUGCUGUUAUUUGCCUAAAUCUUACAAAUCUCCGUUUUGGGAAGUCUUAAGUUACCCUAUUUUUAUGUGUGACCUUCAGUCUACAAACUGAAGGUCAAAAAAGUGCAUUCUGAAAAUGUUUACACCAUGUUAGAUUUUUUCACACUCAACACCAACUUGUCAUAUAAACCGUUCUGAAGGUUGUCAUUUCUCAGUGUUUUAAUUUUUAUUUACCGUGCCAUAACCAUGUUUCAAUAGUUCCAUUUACAAGUGUAUGGGUUUCUUGGACAGUAAAAAAAAAAGUUUGACAAAACAUUUAUCUUUAUAAAAAAAAAUCUUAGGUGAUAUUGGUUAAGACCAAUUAGUGACAGCAGAAUUUGGAUUCCUGUUUAAAUGCACCCAAAGACAUGCACCUAAAAACAUGCAUUGUUAGAUUUUUUUUCUCUCAUGACAAUCAAAAUGCGUUCUAGGGAACAAUACAUCGUUGCAAAUGUAUUUGUUUGUUAAUACAUAGUGUAAUAAAUGUUCUGAAAUAC
ensembl:lncRNA